rnacentral:rRNA from 1 species
AUGGACCGUUUCCGUAUGGCGGCAUCCCAACCCAACAAACCAACGAUGAAGGAGGAUGGCGAAGAUGAGAUGGCGGGAUGGUGGGAGAAGGCUGCGAAGAAGCUUAGAGAUGAGGAUGCGGCCAAGCUAAAGAAGAAGAAGGAACAGGAGCUUGAGAAGGAGAUGAAGAGGGAAGAGAGAGCGUCAAUGGCGAUGCGCGCUAGGGAGGCAGCGUUGGUGAGGAAAUGUGAGGAGGCACAAAAGAAGCGUCUAAAGGAUUUUCAAGAAAGAACCAUGAAGCUUUGGGCAAUUGCAGCUGAAAAAGAAGAGAGGGACAAUCAGAUAUUCAUGGAAAGGGUGGUUAAGGAGGCUCACCUCAUAAGAAAAAGGGAGGAGGAAGAGGAAGAAGAGAGGAAGAAGAAGAAGGGAAAGGGGCCUUGCUCUACGCAAUAA